rnacentral:rRNA from 1 species
UGGGGGAUAUUGCACAAUGGGGGAAACCCUGAUGCAGUGACGUCGCGUGAGGGAAGACGGUUUUCGGAUUGUAAACCUCUGUCUUCGGGGACGAGAAGAAGACGGUACCCGAGGAGGAAGCCACGGCUAACUACGUGCCAGCAGCCGCGGUAAUACGUAGGUGGCAAGCGUUGUCCGGCAUUACUGGGUGAAAAGGGGGCGUAGGCGGGAGUGCAAGUAAAGUGUCAAAUCUAUCGGCUCAACCGGUAGUCGCGCUUGAAACUGCAUUUCUUGAGUGAAGUAGAGGCAGACGGAAUUCCUAGUGUAGCGGUGAAAUGCGUAGAUAUUAGGAGGAACACCAGUGGCGAAGGCGGUCUGCUGGGCUUUAACUGACGCUGAGGCUCGAAAGCAUGGGUAGCAAACA